AAAAUGUAGUUAAAUCAGCAAAACACCUCCCUUACACCGAGGAAAUACCCAUGCAACUCGGGUCAUUUUGAACC
rnacentral:tRNA from 1 species